rnacentral:rRNA from 1 species
UACGUAGGGGGCAAGCGUUAUCCGGAUUUACUGGGUGUAAAGGGAGCGUAGACGGCCAGACAAGUCUGAAGUGAAAAUCCAGCGCUUAACGUUGGAAGUGCUUUGGAAACUGCCGGGCUGGAGUGCAGGAGGGGCAGGCGGAAUUCCUAGUGUAGCGGUGAAAUGCGUAGAUAAUAGGAGGAACACCAGUGGCGAGGGCGGCCUGCUGGACUGCAACUGACGUUGAGGCUCGAAGGCGUGGGGAGCAAACAGG